CUUGUUUGGCUGUCUACCGCAGGAGAAGGAGGAUUGGUUAGUGAGUCGCUGUGUACACGAUGCGGGGUUCUGCUACCUGUUCUCCAGUGAAAUUGGUGCUUGUUUCAGGAAAUCUUCAAACUCCUUGCAGUUCUUUCUUCCAUCAUUCAUAUGCUGGAGGAGGGUGUCAUAGCCUUGGGUACUGGUGAGGUCUGUGCUCUGCAAGGAACAGGAGAGAGAACACUUCGAUUAGAGACUCAUCCAUGUAAGACAGGGACAGUGGCACUAAGCUCUCAGGUUUGUGUAACUCUGUAAAUUGAGUUUAUGAAGCUCCUGAUGGACAGUACUUGCGCUGUUGUUGCUUUUGGCUGAAAUCAGAACAGAAGAUUUAUGUGCCACUCAUUUCGGUAAGGCUGCCUUCUGUAAU